rnacentral:lncRNA from 1 species
CCCUAGCUGUGGGUAGUAAGUCCAGUUAUAAAUUUUUCUCCCUUCUUCUGUGGAUAAGCUGGAACAGAUCCCUGAAUUGCACUGAUACCGAAGAUGCGUGCAUUAUAGAAAAUUGUUGUCAAGCACCUUAGUGGCCAUUUUGAACCUCAAAGCUCAGAGGAAGCUAAAGGUUUGCCACUUGAAAAAGGGAACUGAGAUCUGCAACUACAGCUACUCCAAUAAGAUAGUGGCUGUGGAGCUCCAAAGGCAAAGGCUAAUAGCGUGCCUGGGAGAUCCUUUGCACUUCCACAACAUUUGGGACUUGAAGGUACUGCCUGGGAUCAGGAGAUCCUCCAAGCCCUGCAGGCUUGUGAGCACUACCAAU